UCUUUGACCUCAAGUUUUUCUCUUCUGAAAGCAGGUUGCUUUGUACUGCUGCCCAAUGACCUACUUCUGAAAUUGCUGGCAAGAAACACGUGUCCUCAGCAGCAGGCCCUGCACCCUGGCAAAGGCUGGAACCACCUGUGCAGUCAGUCCAGUCACAGGAUACACGUCCUGUAUUUACAGGCCAUUGAAGGUGCUGAAUAUCAUCCUGCACUGUUGCUACUGGGAAGAAUGAUGGUGCUGUGUCCUCUGGCCUCAGUUCUGUUAGGAGAGAAAACACUAAGACACUUCAUGUUGUCUGAUAUCUUCUGUGUCCCAGGGGUCCUGUUUUCAGAGUGGCUGGAUGCUUUGAUGGACCACCAGCAACUAGGAGUUCAGUGCUGUGCCGUCAUGAGAGUGCUGAGAUGAGUGUGGUGGUCUCUGCAGAAGAAAAGAGUCCUCAUGCAUGGAUGUAAAUAAUCUGUGGGCUGCUUUCAUGCUUAUUAACACAUGUUAUUUGACAUCAUUUCUACGGGGAGGCUAUUUGGCUUCUGAAGGAUCAGUUGGGACUCCCUGUGAGAUCAGUUCUUGGGUGGAGCUUGCAGUAACUCGGGUUUAUUCUCACAGUGGGGAAAAUCUGGUGAUCUUCAAGGCCAUCUCUGCUAGAAAUGGAUAACUUCACAAAUAAUCCAGCAGGCCCAUGUCAGAGGAACAGGUUGGCAGGACUGCUAGAAACAGAUGACAGUAUCCGGGAUAAUAAGCCUGCAUCUAGUACAAAGGAAGAAAGGUCAGGACAAUAUGGAAAGAAGGGAGAGCCCCGGCCCUUGGAGACACCUUACCAGAAGGAAAGCAGUGACUACUCUCCCAAAGUCAUGAUUAAUCUGAACUAUCGGCCAGGACUCGUAAGCAACCAAAAGGACCCCAAUCGCUUUGACAGAGACAGACUCUUCAAUGCAGUCACAAGGGGCUGCCCUGAGGCACUGGAUGGCUUACUUGAGUACCUAAGGAGGACCUCGAAAUUUCUCACCAAUUCUGAAUACACAGAUGCAAAGACUGGGAAGACUUGUUUAAUGAAGGCCCUGAUGAAUUUAAAAAAUGGAAGGAAUGACACAAUCCCUGUUUUGCUGGAAAUAGACCAGAAGACACAGAAUCCCAGGCCUCUUGUCAAUGUGGCGUGCUCUGACUGUUACUACAGAGGCCAGACAGCACUCCAUAUUGCCAUAGAGAAAAGGAGCCUGGACAUAGUGAAAGUUCUAGUAGAGAAUGGAGCUGAUGUCCAUGCCAGAGCUCAUGGUGAAUUCUUCAGGAAGAAGAAAGAAGGAGUUUGCUUUUAUUUUGGUGAACUUCCCCUCUCUUUGGCUGCCUGUACCAACCAGUUUGAGAUGGUAGAAUAUCUUCUAAACAACCCUCACCAAAAAGCCAGACUCCAGGAGCAAGAUACACUGGGCAAUACAGUCCUCCAUGCCCUAGUGAUGAUUGCAGAUGACACUGAGGAGAACACCAAGUUUGUGAGCACAGUAUACGUUGAAAUCCUGAAGGCAGGUGUGAGGACUGACCCAACAGUGAAACUGGAGGAGAUCGCGAAUUAUGAUGGAUUAAAUCCCCUGCAACUUGCUGCCAAGACGGGCAAAGUGGAGAUCUUCAGACACAUCAUCCAAAGAGAGAUCAAAGACCCAGUGUACAGGCACCUGUCCCGCAAGUUCACUGAAUGGACCUAUGGACCUAUCCAUGUCUCCCUCUAUGACCUGUCUUCUCUAGACAGUUUUGAGGAAAACUCUGUGCUGGAGAUUCUGGCAUACAGCAGUGACACACCGAAUCGGUACAAAAUGGUGGUUCUGGAGCCACUGAACAAACUGCUUCAGCAGAAGUGGGAGACAUUUGCUUCCAAGAGAUUCUACUUCAAUUUUAUCUCGUACUUGUCAUUCAUGAUCAUCUUUACAGCCAUUGCCUACUAUCAGCCAUUAAGGGUGAAGCCUUCAUUUCCAGUGGAGUUCACAGCUGGAGGCUUCCUGUGGGUCUCUGGGCUGAUAAUUGUCUUGCUUGGAGGCGUAUACCUAAUUUUGUCUCAGAGUCUGUAUCUGCGGAGGAGACGCCAGUCCCUGAAGACUAUGUGUUCUGACAGCUGUGUUGAGAUCUUGAUCUUCAUCCAGGCUUUCGCAUUGCUGUUGUCAGCAGUCCUGUAUGGCGCAAGUUCAGAAAACUACGUGGUAGUGAUGGUGUUCUCCCUGCUCCUGGGAUGGGUGAACAUGCUGUAUUACACUCGGGGCUUUCAGCGCAUUGGCAUUUACAGUGUCAUGAUACAGAAGACUAUCCUGAGAGAUCUGCUGCGUUUCCUCUUGGUUUAUGUGAUCUUCCUCUUUGGCUUUGCUGCAGCUCUGUUUACGCUGAUGGGGGACGCUCCUUCGCUCUCUCACAACAAGUCUGUUGCUCAGAUGGAGAAUGCUGGGAGCCAUGCUAUAUACGGUGGGCUGCUCAAUGUCUGCCUAGAGCUCUUCAAGAUCACCAUUGGGAUGGGUGACCUGGAUUUUCACGAACAUGCCAGAUUCAGAUACCUUGUCAUACUUCUGCUGCUGCUUUUUGUGAUCCUCACUUACAUCCUUUUGUUCAACAUGCUCAUUGCGCUCAUGAGUGAGACUGUCACUGAUAUUUCUGGUCACAGCAAAAGUGUUUGGAAGCUGCAGAGGGCUAUUGCUAUCCUAGAAAUAGAGAAGGCCUGGCUGUGGCGCCAAGGAGGAAAGAGGAGAUCCGGCUGCUUGAUGUCAGUGGGCCUCAAUAAAAAAGAUGAGAGGUGGUGCUUCAGGGUAGAGGAAAUAAAAUGGACAAGCUGGGCAAAGGAAGUGGGAGUUCUUAAGGAAGAGCCUGGAAACAGCAAUGAUUUGGAAAUAAAUCCAGAAGAUGAGGUUUGCUGUGGUGCAAUAUGGAACACAGACCUAAACUGAACUGAGCCUGCAAGAAAGCUGCAGCAGAUUAACUGCUCUCUUUGAGGUCCAAAACAUGAAGCAGCAGAGCUCACAUUGCAGCAAAUACUGGAUAGAGUCUUUAAUGAAAGCCAUGACUCCAGACUGACUGAUGACAAGAUAAUCAUUGCCAUGGUAUCUGGGCAAGUGUUUCUGGAAAACCAUUGACUGAGAAAUGUGCUGAACACCCUUGAAAUGGCUGAGGUCAAACUCUACGUGCCUGGGGUUGGAUCUUAUUUUGGCCCUGAACUUUGCCCAUUUGGUGUGAACUGUGAUGGGGUGACAGAUCUCCUUGUUGGAGCUCCGUUUUAUCACAUCCAAGGAGAAGGAGGAAGGGUUUACGUCUAUUGCCUGGAGACAAAGGUAAAAACACUGGUAGCGUAAACAGUCCAUGUUGGGGAUUUUCCAACCAUGCCUAAGUAGUGACAAAUAAAACAUUCCUCCUUUGUGCUCUCACUGAAUGUGCUCUCCCUGUAUGGUAGAGGACUGCAGGAUGAAGCCAGCGAUCCUAUCUUAGCUGUUAGAGUAUAAAAAAAAGGAAAGAACUAUAGAAAUAAAAGCAUUCUGUACACGAGAUAUACAGAUAUCACAGUGUGAUAAAACCAUUUCUCCUGCUUGUAUGUGGGUAAUUUGUUGGUGCUGACUUUGAUCAGUGUUCUUUGCAGCGUUUAUAACAAUGUGUGGGUAGCUGCUGCAACUUUGCCUCUUGAGGCUCGUAGAAAACAGAAUGUUUUGAGGGCCCAGCUGAUGGAUCCAGUGUAAAAUAUGCAGGAAAUUAUUAAUUGCAUCAUUCCGAAUGACAACUGAACCCUCUUUAACAACAAACCAAGAGAAACCCACUUUGGUGCUCUGCUAAGUUUCGUUUGGGGCACGUUCCAAAUGGGGGGAAGCAGAAAGCAGCCUGAGCAUCCAUUCCAAGUCGAACAACUUGCACCCUCUGGUGGCUUAUUUCUGUUAUGCAGUGGAGAAAUAAGCUCGUCUCAAAACCAGCCAGGCAUCGACUCCAUCCGUGAACAGUUUACAUUGAGUACUUCAGCGUGUCCUCUUGUGUAGGGCUGCCUGGCCCCCUGCUGCUGAUGGAGGGUCUGCAUGUAGUCAGUGCAGAAGGAUCGGCCUUCUGGCCUGAGAAUUAACUGGUAUGUGGAACCUCCAAUUAUACUGUUUAGAGCUUUAUUGUUCACCUGUAAGCAUUAUGAAUGUGCAGUGAGGUCUGUCUUUUUUUUUUUUUCAUGUAUGAUCUACUCCAGUUAUAAUUGCUGUGAAGGGAUUUGGUUAGUGGGUGUUUUGCAGUGGUUCAUUCCCCUUGGAAGGAUGCCUAAAUGUGCAGUGACCACUCCUUUCACAAGGUUUGGGUUUACUGUGGCCAGUGUUGGAGACAUCACUGGGGAUGGUUAUGAGGAUAUUGUGAGUGGAGGCCCCAUGAAGAUCAGCUUUCAAACAGUUCCUCUUUCAGCACCAUUGAUGUCUCCAAAGGUGAUAAAGACAAGAUGGAGAGCUUUUUCUCUGGUGUCUUGUUGGGGGUUGUGUCCAGUAUGCUUUGAGAAGGAAGAGCUCGUGUUUCUGGAGCAGGAGGCUGAUAGGAAGGACUUCCACAUUCCAUUACCAUUAAUGAAUAAGAAAUCUGCAGAUGUUGGAUGGUCUGUGGGACUCACAGGUUCCUGCAGCAGAGAUGCUCCUUAUUGUAGUUACUUGUCUGUAGGGAAGGGAGCAGGAUUCAUGUGCUGCCUGGAAAGCAACCCACUCUUUGCAAACCUGUCCACUCAUUAUAGGAUAGUCAAAACUUUGCAAGUCAGGAGCACCGAGAAACCAGCCUGACAGCAGCUUCAUGAAAGGAAGUGUGUUUUUCAGUGGAUGAGAAAGAGAUCUCAACUUCGAUUUGUUUCCCUCCCCCCAUUAAAGAGUAAAAGCCCGUGACAUUUCAUCAGUGCUUUGGACAACCCACUGAUAGUGGCUUUGAUUGCACUAAUGAUGGUCCCCAAGAUAUCGCAGUGGGAUGACUGGAGGAUGUAGCUGUGCUCUGGUAGGUAACGAGUGCUAUUUUUUAGUCUAUUGGGAAAAUGGUUCAAAGACAAAUUUAGAACCUGCGUUCCAAGCACUGUGUAAUGAUUCUAUUUAUAAUGUGGUAUCAGAGCUACGUAAAAAAAAAAAUCUUUCCCAGUGCUAGAAGAAAUAAUAAUAAAUGUAAAGCGCUCAGCACGCGUUGCUUUUGCCUUUGAACUUCUAAAGCUUUGAGCAAUUAAUGAAGUCUAACAGAUUAAUACAGGUCUUAAUGUCUGCAGUUCAGCACUGAUGGUUGAAGUAAGUUUCUUGGCUGACCAUGCCUAGUUUUCAAUCAGAUGUCUGCUAGCAGAGUGACUGGUGGAGUUCACCAAGGAGAGGAAAAGAUGGACGGCUUCAGUUCUGUUCUUGCAUUUUUUAUUUGAAAACACACUGCAGAUAAAGAGAGAAUUUGUACCACUGGAUAACGAGUUUAUCUAAUGGAAACAUAAACAGAGGGCUUGAUUUUGAAACUCUCUCUCCAUCCUGGUGUAUUUUGGCUGUUCGUUCCUUCAGACUGACGUGGUUUUGCAUUCCCAGCAAAAAGUGGAACUUCUGUAAAUAGACCAGAAUGGCCCAGGUGAAACAUUAUGGAAAAGCUGAGCACUUCUUAGACUUGCUGCCAGGAUUUCUUAAAGCCUUUUUGAUAAGUUUCUUGCUUGCUCUUCAUUGACCAGUUGUUUGCUCUCAGCCACUUGAGAUUCAGUCCUGAGCGAAUGCUAAUGUUCCAGAACAGCAGCAUCAUUACAUCGAAACUACACUUCAUUAUAAUCCCAGCUUUCCUGGUGUCUCAGCAAAGUGAUAAAUGGGAGCUGUGAUCAGACUGCAGUAACUUUUGGUACCUCCAACAAAGCAUUCUGUACAUCUCAGAGCCUGAACCAUCAGAGCCUCUUCAUUUCAUUUCAUUUCAUUUCACUUCACUCACUGCAUGGGAAGCUGUUGGGAAUCUGUCGCCAUGUUUUUUUAUCUCCUCUGUGAAUGCUGGAGCUGCAGAUCAGAACUGUUACCCUUCAUUCAUUGCUUUGCUCUGAGCAAAAUUCCUGUUUGUUCUUCCAGUGUUUUCAGUUUCCACAACAGCUGCAGUCGUCCUAAAACCACAGCUCUGACAUUUGAUUGGCACCACGUGGUUCUGUUUUAGCCUCAUGCUUGGCACAGCUCUUCAGCAAAGAGUUGUUUGGUGUUCACAGCUUUGGACAACAGUGCAGACAUCACUUCAUUGUGAAAAGCUACCCCAGAGAUUCACAGAACAGCAACUCAAGUGGAACAAUGUCUAAAAGCUGUGUUGAUGUAAAACAGAAAUGGAAAAAUGUUAUUUGAAGUUUGGAGAUGGUGCUUUAAUGUUAAGAAGCAUUUUCCUCCACACGUCUAAUAAUACUGAAUAAUCAUCUGGGCUGCCUCAUUAUCCGGUUUGUGUAAGUACUUGGAGGGAGCAAUUAGCAGAACAAGAUGAUUUGGGUCACUCAGUUAUGAAAUGAGAUUAGAAAAUACAUCUAACCCAUCUCAUUUUUCUGUCUGCUUCUAGAGAAGUAGUGGUGGGCCACUCUGAGGAAACGAAUGCUCUGCAAACAGUGGAGAUGACCCACACGUGACAACCAUGUCUAGAACCAUGUCCUAAAGAACUCCGUUUUAAGAAGGUGAUGGCUGAGGUCAGAUUGCAGAACAGCCAACUAUUAAUUUAGGGGCAGAAUGCUCAAAGAAAACAGCUCAAGCUCUUGAUUCAUUUGCUACCCAAGUAAAUGCUGAGGCAGGUCAGUGUAAGGACAGCAUUUUGGUUGUUAGACUACAGCAUGAACUUCUGAUUUAAGACUCCCAGUCUUUUAUUGGGCUACAUCCACCUAAUUCAUUUUAUGGAGGCAGACGCAGUUGAAUUUCCCCAAUCUAUUUUUAUUCAACAUUAAAGAGCGUUCCUAUUCUGUUGGCAGCCAUCCUCUCCUGCUUUCACUGUGGCCAACCAAUACCAUUCACUUCUGCAGACUUACCCUUAAACUGCGGAGUUGAGCAUCCAGCGUUGAAGAAAACAACUGUAAGUAGAGAUUAUUACUUUCAUUUUUUCCUACCUCUAAAUGGUACUUUGAGUAGCUGCUCUUGCUGCUGUAUCUUUACAGUUAGGCCCUGUGUUUGUUCACGUUCAGCCUGGCACUCACAUGCAUUUUCUCAAGGCAAGAGAUAAUUCCUUAAUUCCUGCACUUUAAUGUUUGUUCUGGAAGGGGAUGCCAAGCACAAAAUGCAUCGUGCUUUAACAGGAUCCCGGUGAGUUAAAGAGUAUUUACAGUGUAAUCAGUAUUUUGCUACUGCCUCCUUUUCCCUCAAAACUGCCCAACUCCUCAGUGACUUGGCAAUUAGGUGAAAGUGUAUUCUGAAGUCAGCCUGCAAUCGUUGUUUAAUAUCACUGAGUAUUGCUAUUUUCACCCCAAAACAUGCUGAGAACUGAACAAGAAAGGCUGGAUUGUGGCUCUGGGCAGCCUGGUCUGGUGGUUGGUGACCCUGCAUGUAGAAGGGGGUUGAAACUGGAUGAUCAUUGUGGUCCUAAUUAUAGCUCAAACUAGAGCAGACUUUAGGGUCAACAUUUAAGAGCAGUGAAUAUUUAAAAGCUUGUGCUUACUGAACUGGAAAAGUGGGUGCUCAAAUCCUCCUUCCAGCUUAGCAGAGAAAACAGAUGAGUAACAUAAUCCCGUUUUGUUCCAAAUAGAGCUUAGAUUCCAAAUGAUUGGAACAAGAACAGAAUUAGGGCAUUUUUCUUGCUCAGGGGCUUCUCUGUGUGUUACGGUUCAGAUUCCUUCCUUGUCACAUCCCUCCUAUUAAAAUAUAUGGAGCUGAUUCAUACACAGAAUUUUAUUAAACAGAAAUUUUAAAGAGGAAAUGCAGACUCAUCUGUGGCAGCUGCGCCUCCCUCCAAGCACAGCUGAAGGCAAAGUUUUCUACAUCAACUUAAAAGUCGAAGCUUCCAGUUUUGGUGAAUGAAAGCAGCGUUACACAUCGACAGAUCAACGCUGCUUUGUGGGGAAACAUCUCAAGGCAAUGGAAGCUUUCAGAGACCAUGUAACAAACAGCAACUCCAGCACUGCUGUACAUCACCCUGCAGGGCAGCAGGCUGGCUCCUCUCCCUUUAACUGCCACUUUCCAUCCUUCUUGUACAGCCCAUGCUGGCAAUUCUGAAAUAAAGGACCAAUAUGGGCAGGUAA